GGUGGAGUAAUUGCCUAUGAUAACACUCUAUGGUUCGGAUCAGUGGCGCUAAGUGAUGACGCCGUCCAUGAAAAUUUGAAGGAGAACAAAAGUUAUUUGCAACGAUUCAAUGCUUUUCUAGUCAAUGACACACGGGUGGAGAUAGUUCUCCUCUCCAUUGGAGAUGGUAUCACUCUUUGCAGGCGUAUCAAAUAAUUUGGUUGUUUUAAAUAACAUGCCAAGAUUUCAACAUAGGUAAAUUU
rnacentral:misc_RNA from 1 species